GGGACCGCGCGCGUUCGGUGGCCUGUUAUUGGAAUUGGCUAAUUUCGAACGGAAAAUAGCCCAUGUUUAACCCAAGAUAACUUUAUAACUAAAGGCUAUUUUGAUUUAAUUUUUUCGUGUGUUUGUUAAAGAAGGAUAGAUCUAAAAAACAAGACAAUUUUAAAAGUCCAACAAGCUCAAACAAGAAUUUAAUUUGCAAUGGAAUAAGUUGAAUUUUGAGUAUCGCGACGCCAUCGAAAUCAUGCGGCACCGGCGUACGACGAUGACAUGUCGUGUUCAAACGUAAAUCCGGAGUGAUCUCUGGGGUCAUAUGGGACAAUAUUGGUAUCAAAAGAAAGAGGAGAACCUCAGCUAUCCACCAAUGUCCUAUUCUUUCGAGUUUUUGACUUGGAAAGAUUAUUUCAAGCGAAAAACAACGCUUUUUUGUGUUUUUAAACAUUUUCUGGUGCGAAAUGUCAGAAGAAUCAGAAAUCCGAACAAAUUUCGCCACCGCAUUGAGCACUGUGAAAGAAGCAUUAUGCGAAAAUUGUCGCAACUUUAACGAAGACGAUUUGCGUUUGCUUAUUGGGAAAUGGGGCGAAGCCUGGCUGGAAAGAAUUCAUCCCUAUCAUACUGUAUAACAUGGUCAUGGAUUGAAAGUGUUAAUGGCUUCAAUUUUAUGGAUCCUUAGGCUUAGCCUGAAUCAGUAAAUGAGUCACAAGAACAGUAUGUAGGAAAAUGUAUCUGUUGAUAAGCAGUCCAGUUUCAUGUACAUAGACAUAGUCCAGCAGUUUUUAUGUUUAAAUCUUUGAAAGGUAUUAUUAUUAUUAUUAUUAUUUGUAAAAAUAAUUAUUUUCCUAUGUGGAAUGCCUAAAAUAAAUAAAUUUACAAUAAUGUGACAUCAUCUGUGACGUCAUGGAUCCGUUGUGUUGUCAUGGAAACAGGCAUGUGGAGUUCAUUCUGAAUUUUUUAGUGCUUAAAGUAACAAAAUUGUCGAAAUAUUUCAUUAUAAUGCUCAGGAUACGAAUAUAGUAAUACAAGGUUACUAUAAACUGUAAACUUACAAUGACGUCGUUGUGACGUCAUCAAGUUUUCAUGGUAACACAAUUUUGUAACAUUGUUUGAACAAUUAUGACAAAAUUGAUGUAUAUAUGUCAUAGAGUACGUUACUAUAAAUUUUAUAAGUCAUAAAU